AAAAUCCGUCGACUUAAUGGGUACCUUCCC
rnacentral:tRNA from 1 species